rnacentral:rRNA from 1 species
UACGUAGGGGGCAAGCGUUGUCCGGAUUUAUUGGGCGUAAAGCGCUCGCAGGUGGUUCGUUGCGUCGUGCGUGAAAGACCCCGGCUCAACUGGGGAGGGUCGUGCGAUACGGGCGAACUGGAGGCCAGUAGGGGGAUGCGGAAUUCCGGGUGUAGUGGUGGAAUGCGUAGAGAUCCGGAGGAACACCAGCGGCGAAGGCGGCAUCCUGGACUGGUCCUGACACUCAUGAGCGAAAGCGUGGGGAGCGAUCCGG